UCUGUUGAUGACCAGUCUGUGUUGGUUGUAAUCUGGUAAAAGGAAAAGCAAGCACACGAUGGAAGCAACAAUACAAGAAUGGCACAGCAAGUGUUUCAUGGAAAAACUGAGAGAUAAAAGCGAUGUCACGCUGGGCUAGUUCGAGCGAAGCUGGUCACGGAUGGGUUCUACAAUCAAAGCCCGUGCCAAGCUCACUUCAGCUCUACAUGGGUAUUUACGCAACCACUUCCCACGCUUCACGUCUCUGAAACUGCCUAUACCACACGUGCUCUCAAGCUUUUCGAUGAAAUGCCUGAAAGAAAAAUAAUCUGGUUUCACUGAAUGCCGUACUUUCUGGUUUUUAGAAUGGGUAUCGUAGAGACCCAGAAUAUAAAAACAAGAUGGGUUUGGAACGCUCAGGGCCACAGGCUGAAUUCCAGGACUAUUAGAGUUACUUUGAUGUCGGCAACUUCUUAGGAUGAUGAGUAUGAGGCGAUCGUUUGAAACCAAAAUAGGAGUAAACUGGUUGCGUGGUGGAUCUGUUUGGCCGAUCUAGUGAUUAUGGUCGUUUGAAUGAAGCUCUGUGGGUUAAUACAAAGAAUUACCAAGCAUUUGCAUCUGUUUUUGCUUCUUUGCCCGAACAAAUGGCAAUAAAGCUUUCGGAUUUAGAGCCAGAAAAUCCAACUCCUUUUGUAGUCCUGUACAAUAUGCAUGCUGCAUUUGGAAGGUGUAGGGAUGUGAAAUGAUUAAGGUUAUAACGAGGGGAUAAAAUCAUAAAUGUUUGAGAAAGCACCCUGGUUUUACUUGCCCAAAAAAAGAUGCACCCUUGCUUUAGCUUUAGAGGAUAAAUAUGAAAAGUACAUACAUGGUAUUUAAGUUGUUGUUCUCUGGUCCUAAACCAGAUUUUGUUACAUAUCUCCACUUCCAUAAAUUUGAAAGGAUUUCCGCACCUGAAGCAUCACUACUCUAGCAUUUCCUUCACCACAAACCCAAAGUAGUUAUCAAAGUGGUUGGGUGGUUCAUAAAUGAAGCAAGAAAUCACAUCUCUAAGUGUAAUGACGCCAACAACUUCAUCCUCCUCUCCAGCUACCACAUAAAUCCUGUGGACUGAUCUUGAAGCAAGUUUGUGGAUCACACUGCCCAGAGUUGAAUUGGGUUUGCAUGUAAUUGGAGGGACGACUUUGCCGGCUUCUUGGGAGGCAAUGAUGUGCACGAAAUCCAUCACAGUCAGCUUCCUGAAUGAAACGGCGAAUAGAAUAAAGUCGACAGUCAAGACUAACAUGGAGGAGCAAGUUAACAUAUGGAGGAUAGAUUGAUAUGCCUGUAGAAUCAACUCACUGCCCUGGAUGCUUACAACCUGGCCAAGAAGACAAAGGAACAUUUUGGAAGUAUGAAUUCAAUAGUGACCUAGAAGAACACUCAUUUAACAGUGCAAAGCUUACCUCUGCAGAAGACAUGAAAGGAAGUCCAAAAUCAGAUAUAGGCUGUGCAGCAAUGCUGUCAAACCAGUCCCUUCCUGCACAACCCUCAAGACCCUGAACGACUGCGGAUUGAGUAAUGAAGUUCUUUAUCUCCGGCUUGCCUAUUUCAAUUACAGGUACAUUCCUCAUCCUAUACUUGGAGAGUAGCAGUAGGACAGUCAACAUAGAACUAUCUGUUGAAACUGGAAUGAAAGGAGCCCAACGGAAUGAUUUGAUUAUUGAACUCACCUGAAACAAAAAAGAAAAAAAAAAAAGAAGAAGAAAGAAACUUCAUUUCUAAUAUGAUUUGAUUUC